UUCACAUUCCUGACCAACGAUGCAAAAAUCCUUUUUAUCUCACUUUUCAAUUCUGUUCUUUUAGUGGUAACUUCCUGGAAUACAUAUUGAAAAUAAUUCCUAUACCAUAAAAUCUCCAUGACUAAUUUGCCAUGUCUGCCAUUGGUGUGGAAAAAAGGAGUGGAAGUGUAUAUUCAUGUAUUUGACAUUCAAGAAGAAUGGGAGUAAGAAGUGAAAAGAAUGAAGGAGAAUAAGAAAGGCCGGUGAAUAUUUGUGUUGUAUGCAGAAAGUGAGAUAUGGGAGGAAUAUCAUAUGAAGAAAUGGAAGAUUCCCAAGGAGAGGGCAAGGUUUAUGCUUCAAGAUCACAUGACAAGAAAGUACCAGACACCCUUGGAAACGCGAUGCUACGUCUCAAUGGGAUUUUCCAGUACAAAGAUUCUUUUCAAAGAACAUAAUUGUGGAUACACACCACUCCUACAGAGAGUGUGUCUUGCGGUGACAGAAGACAGCAUGAUGAGGAAGUUAAGGAAGUAAGAAAAUUAGAAUUUAGGAUGUCAGCAUCUUGAGGU